rnacentral:rRNA from 1 species
AGGGCGCACGGGGAAUGCCUUGGGACUUGGAGACGAUGAAGGACGUGGUAAGCUGCGAUAAGCUGCGGUAAGGUGCAAACAACCUUUGACCCGCAGAUGUCCGAAUGGGGAAACCCGAUCCGGGUUAUACCGGAUCAUCCUGCUCUGAAUCUAUAGGAGUAGCGAAGAAAACGAGGAGAAUUGAAAUAUCUUAGUACCCUCAGGAAGAGAAAACAACAGUGAUUUUCCUAGUAGCGACGAGCGAACGGGAAAGAGCCCAAACCGAAUAUGUGUCAAGCCUGCCAGCGUUGCAUAUUUGGGGUUGUGGGAUCCGUGUUGGUGUGUGGCAGACACGCCGGCAAGUCAAAAAAAUUUCGGUUAGAAGAAAACUCUGGAAAGAGUUGCCAUAGAAGGUGAUAGCCCCGUAUUCGAAAAUUGAGAUUCUUGCUUCACGGACUCCCGAGUAGCACGAUACACGUGGAAUUUCGUGUGAAUCUGCCAGGACCAUCUGGUAAGGCUAAAUACUCCCAAGUCACCGAUAGUGAAUUAGUACCGUGAGGGAAAGGUGAAAAGUACGCGUAAUAGCGAGUGAAAUAGUACCUGAAACCGUGCGCUUACAAGCGGUCGGAGUCCGUCGUUUGACGGAUGACGGCGUGCCUUUUGCAUAAUGAGCCUGCGAGUUGUCGUAUGUAGCAAGGUUAAGGAUAAUCUCUGUAGCCGUAGCGAAAGCGAGUCUGAAAUGGGCGCUUAGUUACAUGCGGCAGACCCGAAGCCGAGUGAUCUAUCCAUGGUCAGGAUGAAGCGAUGGUAAGACAUCGUGGAGGUCCGAACCAAUGUAUGUUGAAAAAUGCUUGGAUGAACUGUGGAUAGGGGUGAAAGGCCAAUCAAACUCGGCGAUAGCUGGUUCUCCCCGAAAUAGCUUUAGGGCUAGCCUCGAUGGAGUGUGACGGAGGUAGAGCACUGAAUGGACUAGGGGGCUUCACCGCCUACCAAACCCAAACAAACUCCGAAUGCCGUACACAUGCUCAUCGGGAGAUAGGCUGCGAGGGAUAAGCUCCGUAGCCGAGAGGGAAACAACCCAGACCGACAGCUAAGGUCCCAAAAUGUGGGUUAAGUGAUAAAGGAUGUGAAAUUACUUAGACAGCUAGGAUGUUGGCUUAGAAGCAGCCAUUCAUUUAAAGAGUGCGUAAUAGCUCACUAGUCAAGUGAUUUUGCGCCAAUAAUUUCCGGGACUAUCAAACCCACUACCGAAGCUUCGGACUUCCCCGCUUGCGGGGGAGUGGUAGGGGAGCGUUCCAUCUACCGUUGAAGGUCAACUGGCAAGGUUGACUGGAGGAAAUGGAAAUGAGGAUGCAGGCACGAGUAACGAAAACCAGGUGAAAUUCCUGGUCACCGAAUGCCUAAGGUUUCCUGAGUAAAGUUAAUCUGCUCAGGGUUAGUCGGCCCCUAAGGCGAGGCCGAAAGGCGUAGUCGAUGGGAAACAGGUUAAUAUUCCUGUACCGGUGUAUUAUCGUUUGAGCUAAGGGGGGGUGCAGAAGUGAAAGGUCAGCCACCGGACGAAAGUGGUGGUCUAAGUGUGUAGGGAGUUUUUCUAGGCAAAUCCGGAAGAACAAUCCUGAGGCACGAUGGCGAGUCCCUAGGACAUAAAGUGACCCUAAUCCUGCUGACAAGAAAAGCCUCUAUGCGAGAUAAUACAACGACCGUACCAUAAACCGACACAGGUAGGCGGGAUGAGUAUUCUAAGGUGUUGGACGAAUUCAGGUUAAGGAACUCGGCAAAUUCGCCCCGUAACUUCGGAAUAAGGGGCGCCUUGAGUAAGUGAUGUUCCUGCGAAUGGAGCUGAAAAAGGCCGCAGUGAAAAGGCCCAAGCGACUGUUUAACAAAAACACAGGUCUCUGCUAAGUCGUAAGACGAUGUAUAGGGACUGACACCUGCCCGGUGCUGGAAGGUUAAGAGGAGAGGUUAGCCGCAAGGCGAAGCUUUGAAUUGAAGCCCCAGUAAACGGCGGCCGUAACUAUAACGGUCCUAAGGUAGCGAAAUUCCUUGUCGGGUAAGUUCCGACCUGCACGAAUGGUGUAACGAUUUGGGCACUGUCUCAACCUGAAGUCCAGUGAAACUGUAGCGUCGGUGAAGAUGCCGGCUACCCGCGGCAGGACAGAAAGACCCCGUGAACCUUUACUAUAUCCUGGCAUUGGGUUCUGACUUUGUAUGUAGAGGAUAGGUGGGAGACGUUGAAGCGUGGACGCUAGUCUGCGUGGAGUCAACCUUGGAAUACCACCCUUAUAAUGUUGGGAUUCUAACUCUGUACCGUGAAUCCGGUACGAGAACAGUGUCAGGUGGGUAGUUUGACUGGGGCGGUCGCCUCCUAAAAAGUAACGGAGGCGCUCAAAGGUUCCCUCAGUGCGGUUGGUAACCGUACGUCGAGUGCAAAGGCAAAAGGGAGCUUGACUGCGAGAGAGACAUUUCGAGCAGGUGCGAAAGCAGGACUUAGUGAUCCGGCGGUUGCGAAUGGAAGUGCCGUCGCUCAACGGAUAAAAGGUACUCCGGGGAUAACAGGCUUAUCUCCCCCAAGAGUUCAUAUCGACGGGGAGGUUUGGCACCUCGAUGUCGGCUCGUCACAUCCUGGGGCUGGAGAAGGUCCCAAGGGUUCGGCUGUUCGCCGAUUAAAGUGGCACGCGAGCUGGGUUCAGAACGUCGUGAGACAGUUCGGUCCUUAUCCGCCGUGGGCGUAGGAAAUUUGAGAGGAGCUGCUUCCAGUACGAGAGGACCGGAGUGGACGAACCUCUAGUGUAUCUGUUGUCACGUCAGUGGCACGGCAGAGUAGCUACGUUCGGAUGAGAUAAACGCUGAAAGCAUAUAAGCGUGAAACUCACCUCAAGAUUAGAUUUCCCUGAAGAGCCCUUGU